UGACAAAAGCCUACCAAUUAUUGUAUCUGAUAUCCAAAAAAUCGUUAGCAGCAGAUAUGACUUCUCUUCUACUUCUUCACCGCGCUCUCUUCCUCUGUUUUCCUCCAAAAUUCUGGCCAUGUCCCAUCUCCGACCUCUGUAAAAACCUAAAGAAUUCUUCAAUCAAGACCCCUCACUACUACGUUACUUGCCCUCACUGAAUCACCUGACUCUUCUCAAUCCCCUCAACCCCUCCUCCUCCUCCAGUUCUCUGUAAUGAUUACUAUGUGCAUAUAUUUGUAUGAACAUGCUCAUACAUACAUUUCAUAGUUACAUUGUAACUUUGACUCCUUUUAUGGUUGCAGGAUUGCUUUGAUCUUCCGUCGGAGUAUUUUGAGCAAUUACCUCGAGAUCUUCGAUUAGAUUUAAAUGAUGCAGCUUUCGAUCUUUCAAAUGGACCGGUCAUUGAUGAGUGUGGUCAAGAGCUGGGAGAACUCCUGUUAAAUCUCUCUCGAGCACGGGAAUUAGCUGACAUAUCAACUUCCCGUGCUUUAGCUAGCAAGCUCCCUAUGCUGGAGGGUACUUUGACAAAUAAGGUCAAGGCAAGCAAGAAUUGAAGCAUAAACAAUUGAUGCUGGAUGCAUGUUAAAGAGUUUGUUUUGAAGCUUACUUCAUUUUUUCGCUGUUUAGCAUUUGGCAAGCGUUUGGUAUCUGCUGGAAGGAGGUUCCAAUCAAUGGGACAGUAUGGCCAGGGUGAAAUGCAGAGAUUGCGCAAGCAAUGAUAACAACUGGAAAACUUCUGUCUGCAAGUCCAAUACCAACAACUCCAGACGAGAGCCAAAGAAAGAAACCAGAGUCUUCAAGUUUGGAGAACUUCAGGUUGAAGUAACACCAGUGAAAGCCAAUAUUGGAGCUGUAAUUGGAGUUGCUUUUGGGAUUCUUUCAUGGGAACUAGCCCAGGGUAUUCAAAGCAUACCAGAGAGCUCCUUGCAGUAUCCGAAUGACAAUGCUAUACUGCUGGCUAAGUCUCUAAGGGGAGCUUUGCUUGUGCUUUUUUACUCAUCUACAUUUUUAUCUGCUUUUACCUCUGUGGGACUUUUCUUGCUUGGAAGACAACUCAAGUCAAAGGAAAAGUGAGCUUCUGUGGUGCAAACUUUCAGUUCAUCGGAUCCUCUAACAUUGAUGUGUGAAGUAUUGGGUAUUUCUGUCUGACAAUGGCCCAAGAAAUCAUGGAUGUACCAUACUAUGGAAUCAUAAUUGUGUAAUCAUUUUCUGGUUUUGAUGCCUUUGAAAACUGUAUCAUAGAUGGCAGUGCGAGUUGAAAUUUUACUAUGUACGUGUAGCUUUUAUUUUGUUUCAUAAAGGGGACAAAACCAUAAAAUUUAUGUACAAUUUUUUGAAUUAUAACUAUAUAUAGUCAUUUGGCGAGCAAAG
rnacentral:misc_RNA from 1 species